AAAUUCCAAAAAAGAAAAGGAGAAGGAGAAGACCCGACCACGAUCUCGGUCACGCUCCAAAUCAAGAUCCCGGACGCGGUCCCGCUCUCCUUCUCACACUCGACCUAGACGGCGCCAUAGAUCCCGAUCAAGAUCGUAUUCACCUAGAAGGCGGCCAAGCCCAAGAAGGCGGCCAUCUCCUCGAAGAAGAACUCCACCAAGAAGAAUGCCUCCUCCACCAAGGCAUAGAAGGAGUAGAUCGCCAGUGAGACGAAGAAGACGUUCGUCAGCAUCCUUGUCUGGGAGUAGCUCAUCAUCCUCUUCAUCUCGUUCACGGUCACCACCAAAGAAGCCUCCCAAGAGGACAUCCAGCCCCCCUCGGAAAACUCGUAGGUUAUCUCCUUCAGCAAGUCCUCCAAGGCGAAGGCACAGGCCAUCACCUCCUGCAACUCCACCACCCAAAACUCGGCAUUCCCCAACACCCCAGCAGUCAAACCGUACAAGAAAAAGUCGUGUUUCUGUGUCUCCAGGGAGAACUUCAGUGACAAAACAUAAAGGUACUGAGAAAAGAGAAUCCCCUUCACCAGCACCGAAGCCUAGAAAAGUAGAGUUAUCUGAAUCGGAAGAAGAUAAAGGUGGCAAAAUGGCUGCAGCAGAUUCUGUGCAGCAGAGACGCCAAUACAGACGACAAAACCAGCAGUCUUCAUCUGACUCUGGCUCCUCCUCCUCCUCAGAAGAUGAACGACCCAAGAGAUCCCAUGUGAAGAAUGGUGAGGUUGGCAGGCGGCGGAGACAUUCCCCUUCCCGGAGUGCUUCUCCAUCACCACGAAAGCGCCAAAAAGAGACUUCCCCUCG
rnacentral:sRNA from 1 species